rnacentral:lncRNA from 1 species
GUCCUGUCGUUUGCACUUUUUUUUUUUGCACUUCAGUGUUUCUGUUGUUCCUUUAUUUUUUCUCUUGUAGUUGAUGUGUUUCCCUCGGUUUUAGAUUGUCAUCCGAAUUUGUUUUCUCUCAAUCGAUUUAUGAUUUUUGAACAGUAGUAUACUACUGUUGCCUUUAUCUAACAAUAAAUAUUCCUUUACACCUUGUGUAAAA